GCCCGGGUGGUGGAACUGGCAGACACGUUAGCCUUAGGAGCUAAUGCUGAAAGGCGUGGAGGUUCGAGUCCUCUCCCGGGCACCA
rnacentral:tRNA from 1 species